rnacentral:rRNA from 1 species
AACGAACGCUGGCGGCAUGCCUAACACAUGCAAGUCGAACGAGACCUUCGGGUCUAGUGGCGCACGGGUGCGUAACGCGUGGGAACCUGCCCUUAGGUUCGGAAUAACUCCCCGAAAGGGGUGCUAAUACCGGAUAAUGUCUUCGGACCAAAGAUUUAUCGCCUUUGGAUGGGCCCGCGUUGGAUUAGCUAGUUGGUAGGGUAAAAGCCUACCAAGGCGACGAUCCAUAGCUGGUCUGAGAGGAUGAUCAGCCACACUGGGACUGAGACACGGCCCAGACUCCUACGGGAGGCAGCAGUGGGGAAUAUUGGACAAUGGGCGAAAGCAUGAUGCAGCUCGGCCGCGUGAGUGAUGAAGGCCUUAGGGUUGUAAAGCUCUUUUACCCGGGAUGAUAAUGACAGUACCGGGAGAAUAAGCACCGGCUAACUCCGUG